rnacentral:snRNA from 1 species
AUCAGAUAAUGGUGAUGAUCGGGA